rnacentral:hammerhead_ribozyme from 1 species
AUUCAGCUGACGAGUCCCAAAUAAGACGGAACGUUCGUCCUAGAU